CCGUCAGCGUUAAAAAGAAGAACUUGUUAUUUGAGAGUCCAGGAUUGAAAAAAAGACGUUUUGAAUGGACGAAGACGCAAUUGCAAACCGAUUUUUUCCAAUUCAAGAGAUUCAUCAAUUUUGAGAAUCAAGAAUAAAAGGUGGAAAGUUUGUGUAUCAAAAUGAGAAGGAAAAAUGGUGCUGAACGUGAAAUUUCUUGAUGUCGUGGAAUUCAAGAGAAGCUUGGCAUGGAAUAUUCAUUGAUGAACCUGGACUUGAUUGUCACUUUUUUAUUCUCGUUUUUUUAGAAAUAUAUGAGCGAUUGGA